UCAACUAUUAGUUUGUUCUUCUUAGUUGCUAACUCUCUAGGUAAAUGGAAGUAUGGAACCAUUGAGAUGAAGUGAUUGUCUCACCCCUCACAUUUUGUUUCAGUUAAGCAGGUUGAGCAAGUUAGAGUUUGAUGUUAUUGGAACUAAGCAUGGUGGUUUUAGUUGUGUAUUAAACAUCUUAGACCUAUGUAUUGAAUGUUGUUUGUAUUGAGACCUCUUUUUGUUUGUUCAAACGAGAAUUAUCUGGAAUUUUAUUGUAUCCAGUACUAAUGAUUAAUGUCCAUUUAAAUUAUUCUAGACAA